UUUUAAUUGAUUUUGUUCGAACUCAUGAAUCACUUUUUAAUGUAAAAUUAUCAGAAUACCGAAAGACAACUAAAACAAAGCUUAUGGCAGGAAAUUGGGAUAAUACUUCGUAAAACAGAUAUUGACUGCAGUAAACGUUGGGCUUAUAUUAGAGACUACUACAUUAGGAAAAGGGGAAAACCCAGUACCGGAUCAGUAGGAGAAGCUGCAAAAAAAAGAACAGUAAGUAACAUUGAAAAUACUGAAAAGACAAGUCAAAGCUCUCAGGAAGACAUGAAUCAGAUCAAUAUACAAAACAUGUCCGAAAUAGAUAGUAGCAAAGAACAAAGCUUGCCUAUACAGACACAAGACACUAGGUCCUGGAAUGUCUGCCGGACAGAAUCGGAAAAGUCGGAGAUAUACAAUACUCCUAGCAUUGCCAGUACCAGUAGUACGACUUCUAAAUCGACAUUAUAUUCAGUAAAAAAACGUAAAUCAAGUGCUAAUUCCGACGCCCAACUUCAACUGCUACAAGAUAUUCCUCAUAGAACAGGACAUGUGCAGGAAGCUCAAGACGAGAAUGACUUAUUUUUUGCAUCUAUGGCUAAAAUUGUUAAAAAACUACCUACACCAGAACAGGUAAGGCUUAGGCUGCAGAUAGCUACUAUGAUUGAAAAUGCAGAAUUAGCACUAUACAAUAAAAGCAGGAUUGUCCAGACUAAUAAGAGCAUCUGCUUUGUCUCUCCAGGAUCAUCCACCUCCAACUCCACUGCAGAAAGCAAUGAUUUUAAUUUUUUAAAUACACUUCAGACAUUACAAUAAUCUUACAUUACAUUGCCAUUACCAUUGUUAUUAGUUA